ensembl:ncRNA C41A3.5 ncRNA
CUGUUUCACAAUUGUUCUAACAGUUGACUCAAUUUCCGCAUCAGAAAGACUGCUGUUAGUCUGCUCGUCAACAAUGUUCGUGGUCAUUGCAGUUUGGACUUCUGGCCAAAACUGUCUCUUCAGGAAAGAAUACGUCGGAGUUUUGACGAUUCUUCCUCGGAAUUUGACAGCUGGGUCAAACCCACAAGCAAAUAGCUGGCAGAUCAGUUUUUGAACCUUUCU